GAUGAACGCUGGCGGCGUGCCUAAUACAUGCAAGUCGAGCGAACAGACGAGGAGCUUGCUCCUCUGACGUUAGCGGCGGACGGGUGAGUAACACGUGGAUAACCUACCUAUAAGACUGGGAUAACUUCGGGAAACCGGAGCUAAUACCGGAUAAUAUAUUGAACCGCAUGGUUCAAUAGUGAAAUACGGUUUUGCUGUCACUUAUAGAUUGAUCCGCGCCGCAUUAGCUAGUUGGUAAGGUAACGGCUUACCAAGGCAACGAUGCGUAGCCGAACUGAGAGGGUGAUCGGCCACACUGGAACUGAGACACGGUCCAGACUACUACGGGAGGCAGCAGUAGGGAAUCUUACGCAAUGGGCGAGAGCAUGACGGAGCAACGCCGAGUGAGUGAUGAAGGUCUUCGGAUCGUAAAACUCUGUUAUUAGGGAAGAACAAAUGUGUAAGGAAAUAUGCACGUCUUGACGGUACCUAAUCAGAAAGCCACGGCUAACUACGUG
rnacentral:rRNA from 1 species